UGGAGCUUGCUUCCGAUAGGCGUCGACCGGCGCACGGGUGAGUAACGCGUAUCCCACCUGCCCAUCACUUGGGAAUAACCUUGCGAAAGUAAGACUAAUGCCCAAUGACAUUUAUAGAAGGCAUCCGAAGUGAAUUAAAGAUUUAUCGGUGAUGGAUGGGGAUGCGUCUGAUUAGCUUGUUGGCGGGGUAACGGCCCACCAAGGCUACGAUCAGUAGGGGUUCUGAGAGGAAGGUCCCCCACAUUGGAACUGAGACACGGUCCAAACUCCUACGGGAGGCAGCAGUGAGGAAUAUUGGUCAAUGGGCGAGAGCCUGAACCAGCCAAGUAGCGUGCAGGAUGACGGCCCUAUGGGUUGUAAACUGCUUUUAUAGGGGAAUAAAGUGAGCCACGUGUGGUUUUUUGCAUGUACCCUAUGAAUAAGGACCGGCUAAUUCCGUGCCAGCAGCCGCGGUAAUACGGAAGGUCCGGGCGUUAUCCGGAUUUAUUGGGUUUAAAGGGAGCGUAGGCCGGAGAUUAAGCGUGUUGUGAAAUGUAGAUGCUCAACAUCUGAACUGCAGCGCGAACUGGUUUCCUUGAGUACGCAUAAAGUGGGCGGAAUUCGUGGUGUAGCGGUGAAAUGCUUAGAUAUCACGAAGAACUCCGAUUG
rnacentral:rRNA from 1 species